rnacentral:rRNA from 1 species
CAGGCCUAACACAUGCAAGUCGAACGCCCGUAGCAAUACGGGAGUGGCAGACGGGUGAGUAACGCGUGGGAACGUACCCUUUGGUUCGGAAUAACUCGGGGAAACUCGAGCUAAUACCGGAUACGUGCGGAAGCAGAAAGGUUUACCGCCGAAGGAUCGGCCCGCGUCCGAUUAGCUAGUUGGUGAGGUAACGGCUCACCAAGGCGACGAUCGGUAGCUGGUCUGAGAGGAUGAUCAGCCACAUUGGGACUGAGACACGGCCCAGACUCCUACGGGAGGCAGCAGUGGGGAAUAUUGGACAAUGGGCGAAAGCCUGAUCCAGCAAUGCCGCGUGAGUGAUGAAGGCCUUAGGGUUGUAAAGCUCUUUUACCCGGGAUGAUAAUGAC